CGCUGAAAACACCGGUUCUCGUUCGAUCACCGAAGUUAAGCAUCGUAGAGCCAGGUCAGUACUUAGAUGGGGGACCGCUUGGGAACACCUGGUACUGUAAG